AUUGAACGCUGGCGGCAGGCCUAACACAUGAAAGUCGAGCGGAGCGACGGACGGGUGAGUAAUGCCUAGGAAUCUGCCUGGUAGUGGGGGAUAACAUCCGGCAACGGGCGCUAAUACCGCAUAAUAUCAGCUGAGCCUAGGUCGGAUUAGCGAGUUGGUGUGGUAAAGGCCUACCAAGGAGACGAUCCGGAACCGGUCUGAGAGGAUGAGCAGUCACACUGGAACGGAGACACGGUCCAGACUCCUACGGUAGGCAGCAGUGGGGAAUAUUGGACAAUGGGCGAAAGCCUGAUGCAGCCAUGCCGCGUGUGUGAAGAAGGUCUUCGGAUUGUAAAGCACUUUAAGUUGGGAGGCGUUACCAACAGAAUAAGCACCGGCUAACUACGUGCCAGCAGCCGCGGUAAUAC
rnacentral:rRNA from 1 species